GCUCUCGCUGUCUCUGUCAAAUAAAUAAAUAAAAUCUUUAAAAGAAAAAUAAAAAAAUUAAAAGGUUUCAAUAAAAGAUUAAAUAAUUUUGGAUAGGAAAAAUUAAUUGCAAAUGCAUAUUUUGAAAGCAUAGAGUUCUGACUUUAAAAUUUAGGAAAAAGGCAUUCAGGCCAAUGGCAAGAAAACCUGCCUUAAUGCUUCCUGUGACCCUUAGAAUGUUAGACUAGAAAGAAUAUAAACUGUGGAAUCAGACUUGGGUUCAUCUUAUCAACUGUCUACAUUGAGCAGAUUAUUUAAACUGAUACCUAUUUUCUUCAACUAUAAAACAUGAAAAAUAAUUGUCUGCCUUUCUGGGUUUAUGCCAAGGAUUAAAUUAGAUUAAAUUAUGUUGUGUGUGUAAGUACCUGGCUCGUGGUAGUUACUUAAAUGCUUUUUUGGAAAGGACUGCAUGUGAUAAGAGCUAUAGAUCAGAUUUAAAAAAAAAAAAAUUUUUUUUAAAUUUUUUAAGUGGGCUCCACACAGGGAUUGAACUCACAACCUGAGAUCAAGACCUGAGCUGAGAUCAAGAGUUGGAUGCUAAACCAACUGAGCCACCCACGUGCCCCAGACCAGAUUUUUUAAUAUAAACAAAUAUCAGGAGUAUGUUUAAAUUAUUUCUUUAUAAUGAAUUUCCUCCGAUUGAAUAUUGCUUAUACUUUUGUAAAAGAGUUUGGAUUUUUAUUUUAAGAGACUUUCAUUUCUUUGACACUAAGUGAUCUUUUAGUUUGCUUUUAAUUAGAAUAUCCAUGACUCCAAAUAUGUUGGAUCCUGGCUCUCCAUGUAUUACUCUAUAAUCACUAUUUCUCUGUUCUUUUUUUUUUUUUGAGAGAGAACAGGAGUGGAGUUGGGGGGCGGGUGCAGCGGGAGAAGCAGACUCCCCACUGAGCAAGGAGUCCGAGGUGGGGCUCGAUCUCAGGACUCCAGGAUCAUGACCUGAACCGAAGGCAGACAGACGCUUAACCAAAUGAGCACCCAGGCGCCCCUCUCUGUUCUUUUUUAUUUAUUUUCACCUUUUACUCCAUUGUCGGUGUGUUGAUCUCCUGUCUGUCUUUCUGUACAUAUGUUGGAGGAAGGGACAGAUUCAUUCACAGUCAUUAUUUUUUACUAGCAGAUUAUGUGAAAGCCAGGUUCUGAAAGACUUCGCUUAUGAUGAAUUAUGAUGAGUAUUCAAUUAGUGAAAUUUGUAAAGUCCUUGGUGUGGUACUUUGCACCUACCAAAUGUGCAGUAAACCUUAGCUUAAUAUUUUAAUGAUACUGAUGAUACAGAUAACUUUUAAGUCUAUAUUUUGAACCCUGUUGUUCAUCAAAACUAGUCUUUUUUUUUUUUUAAGAUUUAUUUAUUUGUCAAAGAAAGAGAGCACAAGCAGGGGGAAUGGUGGGCAGAGGGAGAAGAAGCAGGCUCCCCACUGAGCAAGGAGCCUGAUGUGGGACUCGAUCCCAGGACCCCGGGGUCAUGACCUGAGCCGAAGGCAGACGCUUAACCGACUGAGCCACCAGGUGCCCCCAGAACUGUAGUAUUUUAUCUCUAACUGCCUACUAAACAUUUUCUCUUAUUCCUGACUGCAUUAACUUAAACACAAUCUACAGUCAAACCCUUCUUUCCACAUGGAGACAGUCUUUUUUGUUGUGUAUAGGUGAUGUGGGUAUAGAUAUAGAAUAAAUAAGCAAAAUUUGCUUCAGUUAUCAAAUACUUAGAAACACUUUGAUAUCUGAGCUAAAAGUUAACAAAUUCUGUUACCAGAAUUCUGAGGAUAUUUGCUGCUUCAUGCCAUGCUUUUUUUUUUUUUUAACUUGAAAACUAUUUCAUUUGACAUGGAGGACCUCAACUAAAUAAGCGUCCAAAGGGGGGAAUAGACUAUUAAUGCCCAGCAGGAAUUCAGAAGCACAGUAAAUGCCUUUCUUUUAUCUGUUCUGUAUCUGCCUGUUCAUAGGCUCUCACAUGGAAUCCUAAGAGGAUGGCUGUUGGUUUGUCGUAUUUUACAGGCCCAAUGCCCUCUUAUAAACUGGUUAUCUGUUAUAUGUUGACGCUAGGACACAAAAUUGGCACUCGUUAAGUAGCUCUUAAGUAAAUAAGUCAAAAAAAUUAAAAGAUAUAAGAUACAUGGUCCCUGCUAGUAAGAGUUUAUAAAUGAAGUAGGGAUGAUAAUUCCUGAAGCCAGUUAAAUAAAAAUCUAUAAACUCCAUUAUAUAGUGACGUGUCAGCGUAAGAGGAAAAAUAAUAAAUUAUGUAGACAGUAAGUGGGAGGAAAAAGGCUUUUGGAGUUGACGGGCUUGAGCUAGCUCAUGGAUGUGUGCUACUAGAAGAUUUCUGGUCUGAAGACGUAUAAAAACUUCCCCUUUGAUACUAUAAUAGUUCUGCCCCCCUCAGGAUCAGACUGCUUCUUGCUUUUGCUUUAAAAGAGAUUAGAUCGUAGCAGUCAUUAUGUAAGCCAAGAAAGACCAUUUUUUAUGUGAAGGUGCACUUUCAUUGCACUUGUCUCUCUGUAUCGUAUUAUAGUUAGUUGUUUAUAUCUGUCUCUACGUAGUUUCCACAUGGGAGGCGACCCCGGUAGAUGUUGUUGAAUAAACAAGAGUGUAACUCCUAAAGGGUAAGAAUGUGUUAUGUUAUUUUUUGUUUCCUCAUAUGCACUGAAGCGAAUUGAGAUUGACGUUUCUUGAGAUUGGUUCUUGGAAUAUCAAUCCUCACUGAUUCUGUUGCUGCAGUUUAGCUCACCACACAACAGGUGCUUGAGUAUUCACCUUCCUCCAGUCCAGCGAAGUUAUAUUUUGAUGACUUCCCUUUUGACCUGGUCUAUACUUCUAGACCAGGUCUAAUACAAAGAUUGAUCUAUAGGCAACAGCUGAAGAGUGAAAAUGAUCACUUCUGUGAAGACAGGAUUUCCAAUUUCCAAGCCUGAUGGAUCUCCCAGCAGGGAACAAGAUCUACAGGUCUUUGAUCUGGAAACUAAGAAUAGAGAAGUCUUAAGAGAUGACUGCUCAGAUGGAGAGACCAGAGAAGAGAACAAGCUGUUGAUUCCCUAAGCAGGAAAUUCUGGAAGAAGUACAUUCAUACAAAGUGAGAGUAGGAAGACUCAAAAAGGAUAUUGCCCUGUUCCUGGACUAGAGAAGUGUCUAAACCUGAGGACAGAUUAGAAAGGCUUCAGGAAAUCCUAAGGAAUUUCUCUUCUGGAGAGAGCAUUUAGGCAGAUAACAAUCAGCAAGAAAGCCUUCACAGUGACAAUGAAUGUAAUGAACCUGAAAAAGCUUCAAUCUGGACUCUACCCUUGAUACAGAACAGAGAGUUCUUAGAAUACAGAAUAUUGAUGAUACUGAUAAGUAUGACAAGGGUUGUGAACCAGAUUCAGCUGUGGUAAACAAGAACAAAUAAAUCUCAUACAGGAUGUUCAGAGUAGUGAAUAUAAGGAAAGCUUAAUGGAUCUCUCCCACCUUAUUAAUGUGGACAGCAUUCCUGCCACAGAGAAAUCCUAUAAAUGUGAUGCAUGUGAGAAAGUCUUCCAUCAGAGCUCUGCCCUUUCUAGACAUCAGAGAAUUCAUACUAGAGAGAAACCCUACAAAUGUAAGAAUGUGAAAAAUCUUUCAGUCAGAGUUCAAGUCUUAGUCGACAUAAAGAAUACACACUAGAGAAAAACCCUAUAAAUGUGAAGCAUCUGAUAAAUCCUGUGAAGCAUCUGAUAAAUCCUGUAGUCAGAGCUCAGACAUAACUCCACAUAAGAGGAUUCACACUAGAGCAAAGUCUUAUAAAUGUAGUAAUUGUGAAAGAGUUUUCGUCGUAGUGUACAUCUUACUCAACAUCAGAAGAUUCACAGAGAGAUGCCCUGUAAGUGUACAGUAUGUGGCAGUGACUUCCAUCAUACCUCAUACCUUGCCGAACAUCAGAAAGUCCACUGUGAAGAGAAAGCCUAUGAAUACAAUGAUUGUGGGUUGACCUUUAUGAAACAUCAAGAAUUCAUCUCAGAGAAAAGCCCUAUACGUGUAAUGAAUGUGGAAAAGACUUCAGAUUGAAUUCCCAUCUUAUUCAGCAUCAAAGAAUUCACACAGGAGAGAAACCACAUGAAUGUAAUGAGUGUGGAAAAGCUUUUGGUCAAACUUCAUGCCUUAUUCAGCAUCACAAAAAUUCAUGGGAAGAGAAGUUCUUAUGAGUGUAAUGAUUAUGAGGAAAGUUUCAAUCAUAGCUCAGAUCUUGUUCUCAGCAAGAAGUCCUCACCAGAGAAAAGCCUUUGAUUGUGAUGCAUGGGAAAAGAACCUCAGUCAGAGAGCACACCUUGUUCAACAUCAAAGAAUUCAUACCAAAGAGAACCUUAUGAAUGUGGACGAACGUGGGGAGACAUUUAGUCAAAGUCAGGCCUCAUUCAAAUCUGAGAGUUCACCCAGGGAGAAAUUAUAUAUGUACUGAAGGUGGUGAAGCCUUCAGUCAAUAGCUCAACCUUAUUCAGCAACAGAGAAUCCACCCCAGAGAGAAACCCUCUGAAUGUGAUGAAUGUAGGCAAACUGUUUUGUCAGUGUUAAACUUCGAUAUCUGCCAAACCCAUACCAAUGAGAAAAUCUAAGAAUAUAUUGAAUGUGGUAAAUGCUUAUGCUAUUUUCAUACUUAGUCACCAUUGGAGAAUCUUACUGGAAUAAAAUUCCAUCACUGUAAUAAAUGUGAAAUUGCUUCAGUCAAAGAAACUACCUUGUUCAGCAUCAAAUUCAUUCCAUGCCAGAAAGCCUAUGAAUGUAAUAAGCAUGUCUGUGCAUGGGAGGAUUCAGUCAUAUUCUACCCUUAUUCAACGUCAAAGAAUCUGUGCCAGGAGAAGCCAUUCAAGAGUAGCAAAGGUGACAGAUCUUUCAGUGGGAGUUCAAGUCUUUUUUCAUCAUUAGAAUCUCCACACCAGACCAGAAUCUGAUAUAAUGCAAAUGGAAAAAAUGUACCUCCACAUUUCAGGCUUUACUCAACAUCAAAAUACUGGAGAGAAAAUUUUAUAUAAAAUUGUUAAUAUAUAGCCCUGAUUUUUUCAUUGCAGAAGAAGAUAGUCUGAGGAGUGACUUGGUGAAUGCAAUGCUGUUUCCUCAUGGCAUUCUUUUAUUUAAUAGGUGGUGUAGGUAGGUAUAUAAACUUUAUUUAUGGAACUCAUUUAUGGCCUAUGAACAUUUUUAUUUUUCCUGAAAUUUGGUUCCUGUUAUAGCUUCUCUAAGAUAUUGUUAACACACCCAUGUAAAAACAUAACUUCUGGAAAGCAGCUCAUUUAGAUUUUUCUGCUGUUCUCAGCCCAAGUUCUCUCCAAAACAGACUCUUAGGUCUGCUGUUUUCUGAGCAUUCUACUUUCCUGUUGUUUUCCAGCCACAACACUUGGAUUCCUGUUAAUUUCUCCAUUUUCUUAGUAUCUUCAAAUGAUGUUUUCUAGUUUUAAGCUUCUCACCAGCAGGUUUGCCGUCCCUACUUGAUGUUCGUGUUCUGGUGUCUUCUUUCCUAAAGUGAAGCAUCUACCUUUAAAAAGAAUUGGAUUUCCACAUUCUGUCCAUCCAUGAGUUUGAAGGAUUCCAUCUCUACUGUGUUUGCGUCAGGCAGCUAAACAUUUUCAAAUGACACCCCACCCAAUAGCUGUCUUGUCUGCAUCCACAGCCCUCCAAAAGAGAUAAGGACAUCAGGGAGCCAACAAGACUCCUGAUGGUCUAGCUACAUUCAUUCAGCGCCUGUUCUGCAUGUCAAAGUUUAGAAUUAUUUUAUAUACUUCUGUUGAAGGACAGCAAAAUGCUCAGGUCUGCUUUUGAUAGGGCAAAAUAUAAAGAACAUACACAGAAAAGUCAGAACUUCAUAAGGGAAUGCAGCUUUUCAAAAAAGAAAACAAAAGCUGUUCUUCUGUAAUCUCUCUGGAGAGAGUAUUUCAAGAGAGUGGCAGGUCUUCCUGGUAAAAUUUUAACUGCUACGAUUGCUUCUUUAUCUGUUUGGAUUUUUGCCCCCCUCUCCCGUCAAUCCAGGACAGUAUUUGAAGUGUGGGGGCUUUGUGUAUAAUUGUUUGUUCAUCAUCGCAUUUUCUGUAUUUUACGAGUCUACAGGCCAUAUAAAAGAAUUUGGUUUUUUGAUUGAUAAAAGUGAUCACAGAUGUCAGGAUGUCCAGAGUUCGGGGUCACUGUCAACACCUAGCCAAGAAUUCAUGAUUCUUUAGAUGUUGUCAAAGCAUUUUAUUAUAUUUUUCCAUCUUAAGUUUCGUAACACUUUGUGAAUAAGACAGGUGUUACUUAAAAUUCUUAUUGUCAUUCCAGCAAGUGAGGCCUUCAUAGUUCAGAUGUUAUAAUAUUCACUAGGGAUUCUCAACAAAUAUAUAACAACUUACUGCUUAUUCUGUAAUCCUCUUAUGGCUAAGCUCUAAGAUAGUUCUACCACCGUAUUUUGCCUUUUAGUCAUCAGCAAGCAUAGGAUCUUAUCAGGGCAAAGUAGAGAUCUAAAUGCAUUGAUUUAAAUGUAAAAGCAAAUGAAAAAUGCAUGUUUUUUUUUUUUUCCCCCAUGUGUAUGCCCUUAUGUACAGAGACCAAUGGUCACUUCUGGUGAUUAUGAAACAGAUUAAUCCCUAAAUAGCAGAAUAUGUAAAAAUCACAUGUAUGCAUUUGGUUUUAGGAAUGUGCUUUUGUACUUCCACUUGAAUAAAGGUGUGUUUGAUACUCAGAAUCUGUUUCAAAAAAUAUCUAAAGGCCUCAGCCAGAAGCAUUUGGAAAUCUUGGAAUCACCUUCCUGGCUGCGACUCCCGUUUCUUCCAGAAACCUGCUUCACAACAGGAGUGGAUCACUCUCCUUCACACUGAUACAAAGCUUGCUCUUCCACAGACUUCGGGAACAAAGUCUGAAUGUUUAAGGUUUUAAGGAUUAUUCAUUUGGGAUGUUGUUGGCACAUAAAUAGUUUGAGGUUUCAGUAGAACUAGGCAGAAUGUGUGUGUGUGUUUUUUUAAAAUAAGUAAAACACAUUUUAAAAAAUGAGAAACCAAAAUAAUCCUGGAGGACAAUUAACUUGUCUCUUUAAACUUGCAAUAUUUAAUCAGUCCAAUAUAAUGUGAGUUUGUGUUUUUAGUGUUUUAAUCUUGAAGAUUAAAGGGAGGGAAGAGAAGAAAUGUAAUAGUUGAGGUACACCGAAUUUAGUCUGUCUUCUAUCCACCUACCUACAUGCAUAUGUAUGUUCAUAUUCAAACUUAAUCCUCACACCUCUGCAAGGGAACUAGCUCCGUUUUACAGAGGAACUGAGGUGUAGAGAGGUUGAAGAAUCUGUUAGGGUCACUCAGCAAGUUAAUGACUCAAGUCAGGCCUGACUCCCAGGCUUUCCAUCAUCAUGAUGUUGAUAUUAGACACAUCCCAGAACCCAGAGAAGUUUUCUUUAAUAGCUCUUCAUUCCCUGUUAUAUCCUCAGUGGUUGGCUAUUACCAGUUUGCAAUUAAUCUGAAUGCUCCCAGAGCUGUCUGGGAUACUAGAGAGAAAAUAUCCCAGUAUCUUUUGGGAGCUAGUCAGAGAUCCUGCUCCCUGAAACAGGCUUAGAUGAUUUUGACAAUGACAUGCCACAGGUCAGAGCUCCCAAAUUCUUACCUCCUGUUAGCUGUCCCAGCUCCCAUUACUAGGUUUACAUUUCCACUUCUCAAUGCCCAGAAUGUGCUCUUUUUCCCUGCUAACUGGAACUUGCUGAUUGAUGGACAUGUAUUAGAUUUCCCAUCACUUCUGACUAAAUUACAGCAAUGGAGCAAGGUGGGUAAUGGGAAAAUCAAGUUUGAUUCGUAGGUUUUUGACUUGAGCAAAAGCGUGGAUAGACAUAGACUGGAGAGAUGGGGACCACCGGAAGAGGAGCAGGGAGAGUAUUUCAGGCAAAAGAACAUAUCAGAAGGCCUUCAGAUGAAAGAGUUUGGCAUCUUCAAGGUAAUCUCUCUAGAGGAAUGCAUCACCCUAGGAAGUAGUAUGUGGGCAACUGAGGAAGUUUAAGAAUGAAGUUGAAAGGAGGCCCCUCGGGUGUCAUAAUGGCAAAGCACAAUGGAAUCCCCACCUCUGAAAAUGUGACCUCAUCUAUCUUUUCAUUCAUUCAGUAGUACAGUUGCCAGAUGCAAUGAUGUUCAGUGCCAGCGCAUGGGCACAGUUAACAUAAAUCAGACCAUCUAUUAAGUGAUGAAGACUAAAACAGAGUAGUUGUCACAGCAAUGACUGGAAUUGGACAUUUCUGUGUUUGAACUUCGCUAUUUACUGGCUGUGUGACUUUGGGCAUGUUAGCCUCUAGUUUCCUUGUCUAUACGAUGGUUAAUAAUAGCAUGAAAAUUAAAUGAGGUAAUGUAA